CCCGUGCUCCGCCCGCGCGGGGCCCACAACUGAAUGCGUACGCGACUGGGGAAAGCCGGUGAGAUUCCGGCACUGACCUGCAACCGUGAGCAGCGCGAACCCGCGCUGCGAGUCGGACCGCCCACCGCGCUACGUGCACUGCU
rnacentral:ncRNA from 2 species